AGUGAACGCUGGCGGUAGGCCUAACACAUGCAAGUCGAACGGCAGCACAGUAAGAGCUUGCUCUUACGGGUGGCGAGUGGCGGACGGGUGAGGAAUACAUCGGAAUCUACUUUUUCGUGGGGGAUAACGUAGGGAAACUUACGCUAAUACCGCAUACGACCUACGGGUGAAAGCAGGGGAUCUUCGGACCUUGCGCGAUUGAAUGAGCCGAUGUCGGAUUAGCUAGUUGGCGGGGUAAAGGCCCACCAAGGCGACGAUCCGUAGCUGGUCUGAGAGGAUGAUCAGCCACACUGGAACUGAGACACGGUCCAGACGCCUACGGGAGGCAGCAGUGGGGAAUAUUGGACAAUGGGCGCAAGCCUGAUCAAGCCAUACCGCGUGGGUGAAGAAGGCCUUCGGGUUGUAAAGCCCUUUUGUUGGGAAAGAAAAGCAGCAGGUUAAUACCCCGCUGUUCUGACGGUACCCAAAGAAUAAGCACCGGCUAACUUCGUG
rnacentral:rRNA from 1 species